AUGGCCGCCCUAAUGGGGACAUCUAAUGGGGGGAGGGAGGGAAAUAACCUUGUCACCCUAUUAUUUUGCGUUCACUUUCGAGCAGCAUGUGGAGUCCCCAAGUCAAGUCCCAGGGAGCGCCAACUACAGGUGUGUAAAACCGGGGGGGAGGCGACAGUAAACGACGGCUAUUAUGGGCUGAGGGGAAGCAGCACCUCCUUUCCUCAGGAAUGGGGGAGAGCGCGGGGGGGGGGAAGAGCCGCGACCUGCCAUUCAAGGGGAAGAGCGUUUAACCGCCAGCCCUGGGGAAGGAACGCACAAGCGCGCGCGCGCCUACGGCUUGUGCGAGUUGGGUGCACGCGCGUGGAGGGCGGGGGCGAGGGGAGCGCAGUGACGUCUCCAGGAUGCGGACAGGUUCCUGCUGCGUCCUCCUCCUCCUCCUCCUCCUCAGCUUGUGUAGCGACAGCCCCGGGUUGGUGCCGCCUCUCCGCAGGAGCGGCGUUCGGCGGCGGCUGUGCUUGCCGGGCUGGGCCCCGCCGGCUGGCACCUGCCUCGUUCUUGGGCCGGCCCGGAAGGUUCUGCCCUCCAUCUUUUUUCCACCGGUGCGGCCGGACCUCACUGGGCGCGACUGCGCCGAGGGCGGUUUUGGCGCUGAGGGUGCCCGAAGGCCAGACCUUAAGGAAGACCGCCGCCCUCCACCAGAGAAGAUGACUUGGAGUUGAGGUGAAUAGCGAGGCGGGCAGGUUGGCUGAUCAUCUUCAAUUGCAGAGGUUAGAGCCAAGGAGGUUGCAAAAAAACAAACAAAAAAAGAAAAAUCCUCCAAGCGGAUGGCUUUAUGCUGAGGGGAUGGCUGUUUAAAGGACAAAUGAGCUUGAUCAUAAGCAAGUGCAAAGUGGUGCAUAUUAGGGCAGUAUUCGUUUCACGUGUACAGUCGUCAGUGGGUAACCCAGUCAAAGGACUCUGGGGUUGGGAGGGCUGUCUUGGGUGAAAAUGUGAACUUAUGGAGUGGGUGCUGUUAAAACAAAAGAAGAAGUUUCUUGCUGGUGUAAUUAAAAAGGGAAUUGAAACUGCUGGUGUCAUACUAGCCUUCCACAAAUCCUUGGUUUGUGUACAGUUCUGAUCACCAAAACUGAAAAAGGGUGAUGUAGAGAUGGGAGGUGCAGAAAAGGCAGCCAAAAUGAUCAAGAGGCUGCCACAGCUGUGCCAUGAGAAAAGGCUUACAAUGAGUGCAGCUGUGUUUACCUUAGGGGGAAAAAGGUGAGAAAUAGGAGGCUUGACAGAAAUGUGUAAACUUAUACAUAGCACAUCAGAUGUGGAUAAGCAGAAGCUUUGCUCCCUCUCUAGUAACACUAGAAGAGUCAGCCAGUGAAACUGAACAGUAAGAGAUUUAGGACAGAUAAAAAGAAUUAUUUAUUCACAAGCUGCAUAAGUACAGUGGAAUUUGCUGCCACAGCUUCAGUGGUUUUAAAGGAAUAUUAGAUAAAUUCAUGGAGAAUGGAAUUAUUAAUGGAUACUAGUCACAAUAGAUGCAUCUCUCCUGCUUUACCAGAGACAGUAUAUGUGCUUCUGUAUUAGAGUGUGAGCAGAAGAGUGCUUUUGUAGUCAUGUCCUCUUUAUGUGCUUCCCAUAGGUAUCUAGAUGUCUGCUGUCUAAACAUAAUGCCUUGGUUCAGAUUCAGCUUGACUCAUAUUUUAUCAGAUGAGUUUAUAGUUUUUUAUAGAUGUUGCAACUAAAGUAGGUUUCUGAUGCAUAAUGUUUUAUCCAGGAGUUGCAGGGAUAUAGGGAGUGGUUUUCUGUAGUGAAUAGGCUCAUUUUGUGCAUCAUCUUCAUGGAAUACAGAUGUGUUAAAAAUGGUAGAUUUACUUAUUUAUUUACAAAUAUACUGUAUCUUGCCUGUCUCCUUAAAGAUCCAAGGUGCCUUACAGUAUUAAAAUAAACAAAGUUAAAAGCUAAAAAAUAAAUUACGA
rnacentral:lncRNA from 1 species